GGGGAGGCAGCAGUGAGGAAUCUUGCGCAAUGGGCGAAAGCCUGACGCAGCGACGCCGCGUGACCGAUGAAGUCCUUCGGGAUGUAAAGGUCUUUUGCAGGGGAAGAAGGAUGUGACGGUACCCUGCGAAUAAGCUCCGGCUAACUACGUGCCAGCAGCCGCGGUAAUACGUAGGGAGCGAGCGUUGUCCGAAUUCACUGGGCGUAAAGCGCGUGUAGGCGGACUUUUAAGUUGGGGGUGAAAUUCCGAGGCUCAACCUCGGAACUGCCCCCAAAACUGGAAGUCUUGAGGUUUGGAGAGGGAAGUGGAAUUCCAGGUGUAGCGGUGAAAUGCGUAGAUAUCUGGAGGAACACCUGUGGCGAAGGCGGCUUCCUGGCCAUAUCCUGACGCUGAGGUGCGAAAGCUAGGGGAGCGAACGGGAUUAGAUACCCUGGUAGG
rnacentral:rRNA from 1 species